GGCCCUGAUGAUGAGGAGUUCAUCUCGUUCGUUCUCAACAGGCUCAACUUCGACUACAACUCCCUUGUCUCCUCUGUUCUGGGAUGCAUCGACACCAUCACCAUCAGCGAUUUUUAUGCUGAAUUACUUUCCUUUGAGA